GUAGUGUGUACGUGCCGAGAGAUUUCCUUAUGUGCAUCGAUUGGACCUCGUACACCAAAGCCACAAGAUCGUUAUUGACAUCAGUAUUCCCUCGCAGAAUGCUGGCAACUCAUUCAUUGACGGGAAAACCUCCCCCGGGCUUCCCAAAUAUGGCACGAAAGAAAAAAUUACCUAGCAAGUUUAUUGAUGACAUAGUUUACUGCGUUGCAGAGAAGUGUGGUGUAUCUGCAAGGCUAGUGCGUACCAUCAUCACGAUGAAGUGUACAAAUUCGAGCAAAUGCGAAAGAAAAAAAUUAAAGAAGGAUUAGUAAUUUUAAGUUACAGACGAAAAUAGCUUUUAAGUUAGGUAUUAAGAGGUUAGAUUUUAAGAAGAGUUAUUUUGACCAGCGAACAAGUUACAUUAGUAUUAAAACGACUCAGUUUUAGUGUCUCACUAUUAUUGUAAUGCAUCUUUAGCGAUUAAAAAGCAUAAAUUAGGAAAGUCGACUGCACAUCAGUCUACACAUUUUAUAGCAAAAUAACACCUAUUACAAUACAAUAGGGGUAAAAGUAUGAAAUUGCCGAUUUUUUUUCGAAAUUUC